UUGACUAGCUACACUUAAUGACGUAAUACCUGCUAUCUACUUUCAGCACUGAUGCCAUUAUCGCCAUAUUUUCUAAGACCAACAAAAUAUCAUCCAUACGGACAGGGGAAUAUCCUACGUCACACACAGACAUGCUUCCACCAUUCUCUGGUAACACCGUAUCAAAUCACUAACAAACACGUCUCCAGUCUUCAAAAUAAUUUAGUUAUUAGAAAGGUGAUUGGACAAACCGGUAAAGAGUUUUUUUUCCCCACCAACAAAAAGCAAAUCAGAACAGAGUUAGUCUUUUUCUCCAGUUUACCCAGCCUUCAGAGAUCUAACUGCAGUCCCAUCUUAAUCAUCUUAGACGCCAAAGCAGUGUGAGCUUCGGAUGCAUAAUUUUCAACACAUGUUUUAUUAAUCCAUUCUUCCUGUGCUUCAUUUAAAAUACUGGAAACUAUAAAAAGAUAAGCGUGUUACUCCCCUGCCAGGAAAAAAAAAAAACCAACCCAGAGCAACUGGAAUCUCGGUCUUGAGGAAACACAUGGGAUUGAAGCAUCCGCCGGAGCUCUGUCACCGACUGUCAUCUGUGACUCCGGCGCUGAAGCCUCCAGGCCGGAGCGAGGAGGCUGUGCGUGCAAGCUGAAUGUCUCCGCCAGUCCCUCGCUGACAGCUGGAGCAAGGCCAAUUCCAAGCUUCUGAGGAAUGCAGGGCGCACUUGAGGGUAUGGCUUUGUGCUACACCCGCGACGAACAUUCAAGCAGCGGCCCAGGCCAGGAACUGAACCGUCACAAAGGCUGCCUCCCAAUACAAGGUGCUCUGAGGGACUACAGGAUGCCUCGCAACUGGGGAGAGUGAUCUGAGGGAGGGAUAAGUCAAUCUGAGAGAAGAGGAAACCUUAAAAAAUUUCCUGAAGCAGCAGAACAUCUGGACUAGCACUCUUCAGGACGGUGAUGGUUCAGUAUGGUUUGGUGGAGCCCUGUGAGGCUACAAACAUUUUAUAUCUUUACUCUCCAUUACGAUGGCUACUGAGCACUUGGACGUGGCCAGGGUGAUGGAUGAAUUGAAUUUUUACUGUUACUUAAAUUUGGCUAGUUUAAAUUUAAGCAGUCAUACAUGGUUAAUAGCUAGUGUAUUGUAUAGUUCAGAUCUAGACAGAUCUAAACUGGGUAACCAAUCAAAGAGACAAAAAAACUUUUUUUAAAGAUUUACUCCUGCACUGCUGAUUCUGGCAAUAUUUGUUUCUAUUGUUAUCAGCUGUGAUGUGAAAAUAAUUCAGUUUUAAGAACUUCUGGGAUAUAGAAAUGGUACUAGGUUGCUAAACAUUUAAGGGUACUAAACAUAUAUCCCAGUCUUUAAAUAUGAUACUUUAUUUGUGCUCACUUACCUUAAUUUUCACCUAACAUGAAUAAAAUUGCUU